AGGGUGACAGCCCCGUACACAAAAGCGCAUGUGCUGUGAGCUCGAUGAGUAGGGCGGGACACGUGGUAUCCUGUCUGAAUAUGGGGGGACCAUCCUCCAAGGCUAAAUACUCCUGACUGACCGAUAGUGAACCAGUACCGUGAGGGAAAGGCGAAAAGAACCCCGGCGAGGGGAGUGAAAAAGAACCUGAAACCGUGUACGUACAAGCAGUGGGAGCCCCACCACUAAGCCAGUGGUGAACUCCACAUACGCAUCCUUUGCUGAGGAUACGGUUAACGGAGCGAAAGCGACGUUCAACCGCAAAAGAAGCAGAGGGGGCUUAGUGGUGGGGUGACUGCGUACCUUUUGUAUAAUGGGUCAGCGACUUAUAUUCUGUAGCAAGGUUAACCGAAUAGGGGAGCCGGAGGGAAACCGAGUCUUAAUUGGGCGUUAAGUUGCAGGGUAUAGACCCGAAACCCGGUGAUCUAGCCAUGGGCAGGUUGAAGGUUGGGUAACACUAACUGGAGGACCGAACCGACUAAUGUUGAAAAAUUAGCGGAUGACCUGUGGCUGGGGGUGAAAGGCCAAUCAAACCGGGAGAUAGCUGGUUCUCCCCGAAAGCUAUUUAGGUAGCGCCUCGUGAAUUCAUCUCCGGGGGUAGAGCACUGUUUCGGCUAGGGGGCCAUCCCGGCUUACCAACCCGAUGCAAACUGCGAAUACCGGAGAAUGUUAUCACGGGAGACACACGGCGGGUGCUAACGUCCGUCGUGAAGAGGGAAACAACCCAGACCGCCAGCUAAGGUCCCAAAGUCAUGGUUAAGUGGGAAACGAUGUGGGAAGGCCCAGACAGCCAGGAUGUUGGCUUAGAAGCAGCCAUCAUUUAAAGAAAGCGUAAUAGCUCACUGGUCGAGUCGGCCUGCGCGGAAGAUGUAACGGGGCUAAACCAUG
rnacentral:rRNA from 1 species